GAGGAAGCUGGCUUGUGUCUCCUAUAUGAUUUUCCCUAAUUCUACAGGCACAGUCAGAGUGGAGAGGGUGGUAGAUCAGAGAAUAUUCUCUUCUCAAUCGCCUUCACUAUGUUCAGCAAUUACCACAAGCCUAAUCCUCGCCAACCCACAUGCAGCCAUGAGAGAGACCUGGGGAAGAACCCUAGCUUUUGAAGAUGGGUGGUGUAGAGCAAAGCAGCAAAGCAGAGGCAGUGAAUGGAAUGAUGCAUGGAGUGUGCCAAAUGACAACAUCGACAACAGGGACCUCCAUUUGGGAGCUGCUUGAAUUAUUCUGCUUCAUAUUCAUUUCACACAAAGCAACACAGACUAAGGUUCACCAGGGAGGGAUAGCAGUGUCAAGAGGUGCAAUCAAUGAACAAUACAAGGCAAGCUGGGUCAGAGCAGCAGAUACUCCAGAAGCUCCACUCAGGCAGCACUUCAAAUGGCUCCACUUACCAAACACCCUGCAAAGUGUACAGUAGCAUCACUAACUAAGACAUGUGAGGCACUGCCCCCAGUCUUCUCCAUCUUUUCAUCCUGCUGAAAGACAAGCCACUCCAUGUCCCUGCUGAUGUGACAUUUGUGCACAUUUUCACCGAGAUGCUUUUCCCUUGUAAUUUAGCUCUGAAUUCCCACCACAGAAAUAGAAGUCAGACAACACUUUCAUUCAAAUAAGAUGACCAAAGCUACUGCUUCUAUGUGCAACUGGCAUAUACCAUAUGAUUCACGGUAGUGGAAUGGAGAGGGAAUAUUUACCACACACAUUAAUCUCUCUCAGCUGACCGCUCAGACAUGCAGGUUGGAGCUUAACAUGUCAAAGCUUGGAGUUGUGACGCCAAGCUAAAAUAGCAUUAUAGACCUCUCACCUACAAAAUGUCUCCAGGCCUCUCACCCUAAUAUACCUCACUCUCAAACAAGCCAGGGCCUCUCCCCAGCAUGCCUUCACUAGUGCCUCCACACCCACAAUGAAGUGCUAAUAGAGCAUUAGGGAGUUCACUGGAGCGCUGUUUACAGGUGGGUAUUUAUAGUUGGCAGAGUGGCACAUUGACGUCAGAGUUAAUGCCAUGUGUUGCAGGCAGGCAGGGAUCCAUCUUGCAUGUGCAACCUUUUACUGCCUCACUAAGGCUGAUUGAUGACAAGCCACCCACUACACCAUCCACAACUGUCUGCUGAAGACUCUGUCUAAUUGUAUUAGAACUGCGUGUAGCAGAGAAAGAGAGAGAGAGAGAGAGAGAGAGAGAGAGAGAGAGCUAGCUAUUGUAUGCAUUACAGAGAUUUUAAGCACCAUUCAUUUUUUACAUUCUCACAAAAGAGUCUGUUAUUUCCUUUCAGCCAUAUAAUGGAGGUCUAGGUUAACAUUUGGAAUUGAAUUAUCACAUUGGCUAAACAGUUAUGGCUAUGGAUAGACUGUCCUGGAUAAUACAUUGUAAUGGAAGCUGUGUAUAAAAGCCGAUAUUAUAUUGCUUUAAUUAAAUGUGUUAAAAUGCAUACCCUUAAUUGUCUCAACCAGACAAUUAAGCCUCAAUCAAGAGCAUAGCUGUAAUUGUUCUAUGUAAGGCCAUGUAAUGUCACUGUCUACACUGCCACAGAGAGAUUAAGAGAUUGCUUUGAAACUCUGUAAAUGCAAAAAUUUAAUA